ACUUACGAAGGAGGUAUUCCACAGGAUUUUGGGUCGUUGAGUUCGCUUGAAGUUCUUGACAUGGCGUCCUGUAAUCUUACAGGCGAGAUUCCUCCAAGCUUAGGCAAAUUAAAGCGCCUGCAUUCCUUGUUUCUUCAAAUGAAUAAUCUCUCGGGUUUUAUCCCUCCUGAACUCUCCAGUUUAAUUAGCUUGAAAUCUCUUGAUCUUUCGAAUAAUGGCCUCACUGGGGAGAUACCAGAGAGCUUUUCAGAAUUGAAGAACAUUACCCUAAUCCAUCUGUUUAAUAACAACAUGUAUGGUCAAAUUCCGGAAUUUAUUGGCGAUUUUCCAAAUCUUGAGGUGCUUCAUGCAUGGGGAAACAACUUCACGUUUGAGCUCCCGAAAAAUCUUGGCCGAAACGGGAAACUGAAGAUGCUGGACGUGUCUUUCAAUCAUCUGACGGGUCUGAUUCCUCGGGAUUUAUGCAAAGGAGGGAAAUUGCAGGAGUUGAUUCUCAUGGAUAAUUUCUUCCUUGGGUCGCUUCCUGAGGAAUUUGGCCGGUGCAAGUCCUUGUCUAAAAUCCUAAUCAAGAAUAACCUCCUCACAGGGACUAUCCCUGCUGGAAUAUUUAAUCUGCCGUUGGUGACGGUGGUUGAGUUGAAUGACAACUACUUCUCUGGAGAACUCCCUUCUGAAAUGUCAGGAAAUAAAGUCGGGCUGUUGACGAUUUCUAACAAUCGAAUAACUGGGAAAAUCCCACCGGCAUUUGGGAAAUUGCAUAAUUUACAAAUUUUGUCGCUUGGUGUCAACAGAUUUUCUGGCGAAAUUCCUAGCCAAAUCUUCAAUCUCAAGUACCUCACCACAAUCAACAUCAGCAGAAACAACCUGACCGGUGAAAUCCCACCUUCAAUUACCCAGUGCCCUUCUCUAACGUCAGUUGAUUUCAGUCGAAACAGGCUCCAAGGCCAGAUUCCAAAAGGAAUGGCAAAACUGAAGGAUUUGAGUAUCCUCAACAUCUCUCAAAAUCAGCUUACCGGCCAAAUACCUGGCGACAUUCGGUACAUGCAGAGCCUCACAACUCUCGAUUUCACCUACAACAAUCUACAGGGCAGAAUCCCAGCAGGAGGGCAGUUUCUGGUGUUCAAUGAAAGCUCCUUCGCAGGAAACCCCAGUUUAUCUGCACCACGCCAAGCUUCUUGCCCAUCUCUCGUAAGUAUGCUUCGAGGUUCGAGUCAUGGCCACACAGCGUCGUUCAGCACGUCGAAGCUAAUAAUCACAGACAUUGGACUUGUCAUUGCUUUAAUGCUAAUAACCAUGAUGGUUUGUAAAAUGAGGAAGAAAAGGCUCGAGAAAUCAAGGGCUUGGAAGCUAACCGCUUUCCAAAGGCUGGAUUUUAAAGCAGAGGACGUGCUGGAGUGCUUGAAAGAAGAGAACAUCAUAGGCAAAGGCGGUGCUGGGAUCGUCUACCGUGGGUCCAUGCCAGACGGUGUUGACGUCGCAAUCAAACGUUUGGUGGGUAAAGGGAGCGGAAGGAGCGAUCACGGAUUCUCCGCCGAGAUUCAAACUCUUGGAAGAAUCAGGCACCGAUAUAUUGUGAGGCUGUUGGGGUACGUAUCGAACAAAGAUACCAAUUUGUUACUAUACGAGUACAUGCCGAAUGGGAGCUUAGGGGAGCUGUUACAUGGAUCGAAGGGAGGGCAUUUGAAGUGGGAGACGAGGUACAGGAUCGCCGUUGAGGCUGCGAAGGGGCUUUGUUAUCUUCACCAUGACUGCUCUCCUCUGAUAAUACACAGGGAUGUGAAGUCCAACAAUAUCUUGCUUGAUUCAGACUUUGAAGCUCAUGUGGCUGACUUUGGACUGGCCAAGUUCCUGCAGGACGCUGGUGCAUCGGAGUGCAUGUCCUCCAUUGCUGGUUCCUAUGGUUACAUCGCACCAGAAUACGCUUACACACUGAAAGUGGACGAGAAAAGCGAUGUCUACAGCUUUGGUGUGGUGCUGCUGGAACUAAUAGCAGGGAGAAAACCAGUUGGGGAAUUUGGAGAUGGAGUGGACAUAGUGAGAUGGGUGAGAAAAACCACAUCAGAAGUCGCUCAGCCGUCGGAUGCAGCUUCAGUAUUGGCAAUCUUGGACACUAGGCUUACUGGGUACCCACUUACAAGUGUGAUUCACCUGUUUAAGAUAGCUAUGAUGUGUGUCGAGGAUGAAAGCCCUGCUAGGCCUACCAUGAGGGAAGUUGUUCACAUGCUCACUAAUCCGCCUCGCCAGUCUGCCCCAAGUCUGCGCACCCUUUAAGGACCCUGGAGUAUAAACAAAUGUGUUUCAGCAAUAAAAACAAAAACAAAUCGUAAUAAGCUUGUGAAAAAUUAAAGAUUUCCUUGCUUGGCACAUGGCCAUAUGUGACAAAUGCUAUUUUCUGUGUUUUUGUAAAAAUGCUAUUGAGACUAACAUGCUCCACUCUCAUAAUAUCUUUCCUCUCUGUUUACAAGCUUGAAAUUGAUUUUGUAAGCUUGCCAUUGAAAGGCCAGCCUUUGAUACAAGUACUCUUAUGUUGUCUUCAUCUUUUAUGAUUUAUUUCCUCUGCCAGUGACUGGAUAUUGUGGUUUGGAUCCUGUAUCAUUUCAUCAUUUACAGUAAAAAUAUAUUUUGUUGUAAGAAAAACUAAUUUGAUAGCCUUCUAGCUUUAGCUUUCCCUUCCGAUUUCUCUAUCAAAU
rnacentral:misc_RNA from 1 species